CAGACGGAAACGACUGCUUAAUACCGAAUAAGUUCCAAGACCGGCAUGGCCAUGGAAGAAAAGGUGGCCUCUACCUUGUAAGCUAUCGCCUGAAGAGGGGUUUGCGUCUGAUUAGCUGGUUGGAGGGGUAACGGCCCACCAAGGCGACGAUCAGUAGCCGGUCUGAGAGGAUGAACGGCCACACUGGAACUGAGACACGGUCCAGACUCCUACGGGAGGCAGCAGUGGGGAAUCUUCCGCAAUGGGCGAAAGCCUGACGGAGCAACGCCGCGUGAGUGAUGACGGCCUUCGGGUUGUAAAACUCUGUGAUCCGGGACGAAAAGGCAGAGUGCGAAGAACAAACUGCAUUGACGGUACCGGAAAAGCAAGCCCGG
rnacentral:rRNA from 1 species